rnacentral:tRNA from 1 species
AAAGGGAGACCUAAUUCAGGUAGGAGACGAAAAAAAAGUAGUCCCAACCAAGAAUCAAUCCCAAAAGGUCGGAGCGAGGUAUGAGGCUUUCAAACUAGGUUCUGGGUUCAUAAAAGACCUGAAUCAGGAACAAGGGCUAUUAGCUCAGGUGGUUAGAGCGCACCCCUGAUAAGGGUGAGGUCCCUGGUUCGAGUCCAGGAUGGCCCACCUGCACAGGUGGCAAAGACAAAGAAAAGAAGCUCCGAAUCAGCACCUUAUCUUACUUAUAUAGUAAGAGAGAAUGCUGGCUCUGAGUUCAGAGUCCAGAGGAACCUUGAAAACUGCAUAGAGCUAGGUGAAAAAGCCAAAAAAGAAGACCGCAAG